UUUAUUCAGAAUAGAUACAAUUUCCCCAAAAUUAUCUCAGAACGGUUCUGUUGGUGUAGCAUGCUGGAUUCCUAAAUUCAAAAUAAGUAUUCAAUUCAAGUGUCCCCCAAUCUUCAGUAUUCAUAGGAGUCUAUUGGCAUUUUAGAAGCAAUCCUUUUUGUUGAACUUGAAGCCAAUAACAUACACAAAGUUAUAAUACUAACAGACUCCUUAAGCUUCUUA